rnacentral:lncRNA from 1 species
AUUGAUGGGCAAAAUAACUUCACAUGGAGAAGUCUAAACAGGAAAUCGAGAGAACAGGCAUUGAUGAAAGUGCAGAAACAAAAUCAAGCCGUUCCAGAAAGACUCAGAAGCUCAGAGCCCUGGUAUGGAGCACAGAGAUGGCGGGAGGACUGGACUGCCAUGGCCACGCGUCCCUGCACAUGCAGACACACCUGGAGAAAAGGAGCUGAUCGUGAAGCCCAACAAGGCCACAGCCUCAUCUGGAUGCGCAGCCUGAAGCGGAAGGGGUGAGGGUUCACGACCCAACCACCGAAAGAAGACCAGGGCCUGGAAGCUCCGAUGAGGCCUUCCUGUGUCUCCCAGGGGUGGGGGUGGGGAUGUGGGGUGUGCAGGUCUAGCAUCCGAGAUCACGCUGGCUCUGGGGACGGCUGUGGGAGCUGUGACGCGGCACUCUGAAGCUUCACGGUCACGGCCGUCGCCAGAUGACACAGCACGGCUGUUUACUGUGUUUCUUGGACCGAUAACCAAAAACAAAAUAUGCAGAGUGACUCUGCGAGUUACAGGAUUUGAAUUAGACGACUCUCCUUUCUAGCUGUUACUACUUCUCUGAGUUAACAUGAGUUUGGGCGGGUGUAUGUAAUUCUCUUUAAAAACAAC